UACAGAGGUCCCAAGCGUUGUUCGGAUUCAUUGGGCGUAAAGGGUGCGUAGGCGGCGCGGUAAGUCGGGUGUGAAAUCUCGGAGCUUAACUCCGAAACUGCAUUCGAUACUGCCGUGCUUGAGGACUGGAGAGGAGACUGGAAUUCUCGGUGUAGCGGUGAAAUGCGUAGAUAUCGAGAGGAACACCUGCGGCGAAGGCGGGUAGCUGGGCCGACACUGACGCUGAGGCGCGAAAGCUAGGGGGAACGAACGGG
rnacentral:rRNA from 1 species